rnacentral:rRNA from 1 species
GAUGAACGCUGGCGGCGUGCUUAACACAUGCAAGUCGAACGAAACACCUUAUCUGAUUUUCUUCGGAACUGAAGAUUUGGUGAUUGAGUGGCGGACGGGUGAGUAACGCGUGGGUAACCUGCCCUGUACAGGGGGAUAACAGUCAGAAAUGACUGCUAAUACCGCAUAAGACCACAGCACCGCAUGGUGCAGGGGUAAAAACUCCGGUGGUACAGGAUGGACCCGCGUCUGAUUAGCUGGUUGGUGAGGUAACGGCUCACCAAGGCGACGAUCAGUAGCCGGCUUGAGAGAGUGAACGGCCACAUUGGGACUGAGACACGGCCCAAACUCCUACGGGAGGCAGCAGUGGGGAAUAUUGCACAAUGGGGGAAACCCUGAUGCAGCGACGCCGCGUGAGUGAAGAAGUAUCUCGGUAUGUAAAGCUCUAUCAGCAGGGAAGAAAAUGACGGUACC